GACGUAGGGCGCGAGCGUUGUCCGGAUUUUAUUUGGGCGUAAAGAGCUCGUAGGCGGCUUUGUUUGCGUCAGCUGUGAAAACCCGCAGCUCAACUGUGGGCUUGCAGCUGAUACGGGCAGGCUUGAGUUCGGUAGGGGAGACUGGAAUUCCUGGUGUAGCGGUGAAAUGCGCAGAUAUCAGGAGGAACACCGGUGGCGAAGGCGGGUCUCUGGGCCGAUACUGACGCUGGAGGAGCGAAAGCGUGGGGAGCGAACAGG
rnacentral:rRNA from 1 species